rnacentral:rRNA from 1 species
GAUGAACGCUGGCGGCGUGCCUAAUACAUGCAAGUAGAACGCUGAAGGAAUGAGCUUGCUCUUUCCGGAUGAGUUGCGAACGGGUGAGUAACGCGUAGGUAACCUGCCUGGUAGCGGGGGAUAACUAUUGGAAACGAUAGCUAAUACCGCAUAACAGUAGAUGUUGCAUGAUAUCUACUUAAAAGGUGCAAUUGCACCACUACCAUAUGUACCUGCGUUGUAUUAGCUAGUUGUUGAGGUAACGGCUCACCAAGGCGACGAUACAUAGCCGACCUGAGAGGGUGAGCGGCCACACUGGGACUGAGACACGGCCCAGACUCCUACGGGAGGCAGCAGUAGGGAAUCUUCGGCAAUGGCCGGAAGUCCGACCGGGCAACGCCGAGGGAGUGAAGAAGGUUUUCGGAUUGUAAAGGUCUGUUGUAAGAGAAGAACGAGUGUGAGAGUGGAAAGUUCACACUGUGACGGUAUCUGACCAGAAAGCGACGGCUAACUACGUG